AGACAGACAGUCAGUCAGUCAGUCAGACAGACAGACAGGCAGACAGACAGACAGUCAGACAGACAGACAGACAGACAGACAGUCAGACAGACACACAGGCAGACAGACAGACAGGCAGACAGACAGACAGUCAGACAGACAGACAGACAGACAGACACACAGGCAGACAGACAGACAGGCAGACAGACAGACAGUCAGACAGACAGACAGACAGACAGACAGACAGGCAGACAGACAUGGGUGAAAACAUUAACAUCCUUGAUGGAGGUGAAACGGUAUGAUCGAGAAUCAAUAAUGCAUCACAGAGCAUGAAAAUACCUUUUUUGGAUUUACAAAACAUUUGUAAAAUCAAAAGGACGGUUGCUGAAGGUCGCUCAGACGGUAAUAACUCAUUUCAGAUGGAAGUGGAAGGUUACUGUUUGUCCGGGCCGAGCUACCAGCUGCUCCCUCUCAGGGGUUCUGUGGAACCUUCAGCACAGCGACAAAAAGUCAAUAAAGUGAGCCUUUUCCAGCGAGUAAAUGGGAGUGUUUUCUGAAGUCCAACAUCAAUAUUGACAGUGGGGGGAAGUCCUGUGGCCCGGCCCGCAGCUUCCACAGCAGGAAGGUUCUGCAACAGUCCUCGCUUUGUGUUUCUACCCACUGCACCAGCUGCUGCACUACAACUUCUGCAAAAGACUCGUAGGUAUCGUUUCAUUUUCUUUCACUGAGCAGUGUUCAGUCAGAAAUGUGUCUCUAGUCUGUUCUGCUGCUGUAUAAACUGAGUCAGAGUGUAAGAAUACGCUUCAGAUUGUUCAUUAAUAACCUUCAUGCAGAUAUUAUACGAGAAUGAGACUUCUAUCAUUGUUCUGCAGAUCUGUUCUGAUCCUCUGAUGAACAUGUUGAGAGUCUGUCUCACUGCAGCUCUGCUAGUCUGCUACGGACUGCUAAGUUGUUCUUCUGAACAUGACAAGAGAGAAGCUGAAGAUCUGAAGAAUGGCGACAGUAACAUCGAGGUGAAGAGGAAUUACACCACAGCGAAUAGCGGGAGACCUCAGACUGUAACUCUGAGGAAGAAGGUCAAGAAGACAGGAAGUAAGAUGCGACCAAGAAGUGACAUCAGCUGCACAGAACUGGGAGGCAUCUGCCAGCCCAACAGGUUCAUCUGCCAAGGCCGGUACCUGGCAGACAGGUGUUCUGGAGCGAAGCCGCGGCAGUGUUGUACUCCAGGUACAGUGACACAGGUUAUUACAGUAGAUACUGAUUGGUACUGA
rnacentral:lncRNA from 1 species